UCCUUGGCUUCCUGUACAUCUCUGUGCAUGUCUGGGUGUCACUCCAAGCGGACAUGGUAGCUUUUGUCUGCAUCUGGACAACAAGGUG
ensembl:misc_RNA predicted gene, 27435